CUGGUUGACUUGAAGACGGUGGUGUCUCUUUUACCGUGUUUGAUCUGAUAGGAUGGUUGUCCAUCAUGUAAUCAUAAGCAACCUCUUCAUAAAUGUGAUACUCAGGAAGGGAAUGAAUACCAAGCAUACAUUUUGCCAUUUCGCUUAUUUUACUCUUUGACGUUGGAUCCAACAUGGCAUCUGGGUUAUCCGUUGGCAUACCAUUUCUUGUUGGCCUCUGUUUUUGGUAUUUCCCAUUUGGAUGAUUUAAAGAUACCUGACUACCAGAAUGAUUGAGAUUUUUAUUAUGGCUCAUUUGAUCAGAUGGAUGAUGGUUAUUGGUAUUUUCUGUGUAACUCGUAAAAGUUUCACUGGCGUGCUCUGUGAUAAUAAAUAAAAGAGAAUUAAGGGAAAAAAAGAAGAGAUAAGUAUCGGUAACUUCAGCCUUUUUUUAUUAUUUUAAUAUAUCUCCCUCUCAAUCCCGUUAACUUGCUAAAUGGAUUGAUGGAUAUGUUUCAUUGAAAGGCUUAAUCAAAUAACCGGAUUUCCAUGCUGUUGUCUCACCAUGUUUCUCAUCUUUAACCUCAUCUAAAGAUUCUAGUCUAUUACUACAUUCCAAUCUCAUUUUAUUGACCAUAACUUACAUUCACCGUCCAAAAGUCUUUAUGGCCAUUUCGUGAUAAUAAUGGAAACAACAACAUUCAACUUGAAGAAACCAACUUCCCUACCGGUUUCUUGUGGAUUCCCUUCAUGCAACUCAUUAUCCUUUCCUAAUCUAAAACAAUUUACAGUUUUUCUUGUUCUCCUGUUUUCAUGAUAAAUUGUGAUAGACAGAAGCUGAUAGCUGAAUAAUGUAAGUAUGAAUUUGCCUACUAUUGAACUACCUGUUUUCAUGUGAAUCGUGAAAAAUUAACAGCAUCACUCAUAUUUACUCUCUUUCCUUCUUUCAAAUAUACCUGCAUGUUGUUCAAGCUGAACUUUAUUCAGUUUUAAUCUGUUUACUUGUUUUCGGUUCAAGUCAGAUUUUAUUGAUUAUAAUUUUUAUAAUAAAAACAAACACAUUUUUGACAUUGUCUUGUAAAAAAGAAGGUAAAUGAUUAACUAAAUCAAUUAUGAUGUUCAUUAUUGCAAAAGUCUUUUCACCCAAGACCCAUCUCUUAAUUUUAUAUCCAAAAUUAUUAGCCCCAGGGUCAUCUAACCUGACUUCAAUUAUCUUCCUAAUGGAAUGUUGACCUUAAUCUUGUUCAGCAGGUUAUUGUCAAUUAUUAAAAUUGUAAAGUUAUUAAAUAAUCUAUGAUUUAAACUAUAGAAUGGUAAGAUUUGUCAAUCGAUCAGCUGGUUAGAAGAAAAGGCUUAACAAAAAUUGUCUCUUUUAUCAAAGUGUUGAAUCUUUUGCCAUGAUACUAUGAUUCAGAUUCAAAAGGUUUGAAUUUACACUUUCAAGUGGACGGUUUUGCUGAAAAGGUUCGAUAUUUUUCUUCAAUCAUCUUAACAUACGGAAUGUCCAAUGGAUCAUCUUGAACUUGUUUAUACAAAUCAUUUGGCUCUUUGAGUGUCGACAAGGAGGUAAAAUCAGGAUCAUUUGAUGUGAUUUGGGUUGUUGGCAAAGCAAUUGGUUCAUUGAAACGUUUCCCAUAGAGAAGUGAAUCAAUCUCAUUCUCUAAAGAUUGAGCAGCAUUGAACAUUCCCGAUUCAA